GACGGAGGAUGCAAGUGUUAUCCGGAAUCACUGGGCGUAAAGCGUCUGUAGGUGGUUCAAUAAGUCAACUGUUAAAUCUUGAGGCUCAACUUCAAAAAUCGCAGUCGAAACUAUUGGACUCGAGUAUAGUAGGGGUAAAGGGAAUUUCCAGUGGAGCGGUGAAAUGCGUAGAGAUUGGAAAGAACACCAAUGGCGAAAGCACUUUACUGGGCUAUUACUGACACUGAGAGACGGAAAGCUAGGGUAGCAAAUGGG
rnacentral:rRNA from 1 species